GUUAGCAGUCAAUCCACCUUACAUCUCAAAAUCUAGAAUAUAAAACAAAAAACUGAUGAAUCAAUUAAUCAAAAAGCUUUCAAAGAUAAUCCAAUUUCCAAAUAAUGACUUGCAUGCCAGAACCAUGACAAUUGAUAAACCACAAUGCGUAGAUUGACCACCGAUGAAAGACCCCAAAAAAGAGCUUUAUCAUCCUCAUCAAAGACCGAGACAAACAAUAAAAAAGUGCGUAGCUAGAAGUUGAGAGGGUAAGAAAAAAGAGGUCACGCUUUGAGACGUCCAAAAAUAAUUCGAUAGACCUGUAAGGCGUGGUUGAGCCCUCGAUCACAAAGUUCCUCGAGUUUUCCCGGGGCUCGUCCCGGCUGACUCGGAUAGGAAGUAAGUGCGUGUGCUAAACCUUAAUGUGGGUUCAACGACCCAAAGUAGGUCGCUGGGUCGUCAUCUUGUUCUUGGUCUCUCCUCAGCCUCAGCUUCUUAUUUCCAAACAGACUCCGGUGAGGGUUUGUGCGUAAGUGUAUUAGGGUGGCCGGGUAUCCGGGAGGACCCAGUUACAGUCACAUCACUGGGAAGAACCGAACCUUGUGUUCCCUUUCCUCUCAACUUGAACUGCGGAACGGCAUGCCGGUGUGGGUAAUGUGCCAGAGGUAUAUAAUCCGAGAUGGUAGGCCUUGACAAGGGAAUUUUUGACGGUGCAGGAGUACGGGGGAGUUACAAAGAAACGAAUCGCUUGAAGGUGUAAGCUUGGAUACAGUAUAUAGACUUAUACAUCAACAUAAACCUACACCAGUCCAAAUACCAUCCUCAACCAGCAGACACUUAGCACACCAACAGGUAAGAGGAAUCCAGCUUGUUGCUGGUGUUGGUGAGGUAUGCGUGUGUCGAUUGUGUGAGAGGGAUAAGGGAAAGUUGGUGAACCCGGGCGAUUGGCCCACCUUUCUUCAGCUGAGGUCGUUGCUCCCAAAUGAUUAUUCGAUGGUCACCGAAAAAACCCAACCAAAUAAACAACUGGCCAAGGUAUGGGCUCAGCAUGCUAUAGGACUGCCCAGGUCUAUCGCACCACCCUCCCCACUUUUUAUUCGUCAGAGACCAACCAAUGUUUAAGUAUAAAUACUUAUAAAAUAAUUCGAUUCAAUGUAAGGAGUUACGACAUCGAAUACGGGAUUAGUUUGAGGAUCAUCAGCAUAAGAGAUCAUUAGCCCCUUUAUAAGUGUGUCUAUGACCUUGUAGCACACCAAAUAAGAUGGUAAUGUAAUAUAAUGUCGUUGGCUCGUAAUAUAUUGAUCUAUAGAUUUGUUUACCAACUUAUUUUUAUAUAUAUUUUUUUUUUUUUUUUUUUUUUUGUAAUCUACCGUCUACAUGUUAUGAAUGACUACGACGUCGUACGAUUUUGCUCAGGAGUAAAUUAAAUAUAUUAUACUUAACUAUCAAGAAGAAAUGGGUGAGGUAAUAUUAAAUAAAUAUAACUUUUUUU